GACGAGGUGGCCGAGAAGGUUAAGGCGAUGGACUGCUAAUCCAUUGGGCUCUGCCCAGCGUGGGUUCGAAUCCAUCCUCGUCG
rnacentral:tRNA from 1 species